CUUGCUUUCAUUUUCGGAUUCCCUCCUUCGUGCUUUCCUUUUCUUUUUCCUUUCACCCCGUGGAAAACCCUAACUCUUACAGUCUUACUCCAUCUCUUCCGCCCCCAUUUUCUCCCUCCUCUCCCUUCUUCGAUUUCCGCCAUUGAAAUUCGCUCUCUUCCCUUUUCCUCAUCUCUCCUGCAAUUCAUACUCCAUAGACUUGGCGAUGCUUUUCAUCUUCCACAAAAAUGGUGUCCGGUGGAUCGAUAGUGCCGCAUCAACUUCACUUUACGAAGCUCUCUCGUCUUUCCGUCUUCAUUUUCGCUCUUUCUAAUGUUACAAGAUGUUUGGGAUUCAAAAGCUGGUGCUAAACUUCUUGACUUGGAUCUUCUCAAGGGGCAAUUCCGGUGAUAGUAAGCUCACCAAAGAUGGAAACACCUUUUGAGAGAAAUGGGCUCAAUUCUAAAACAUUCUCCAUCUUCGGUUUCGUCUUCCUUCAACCUCCUCUUCUCUCAC